rnacentral:rRNA from 1 species
GUCCACGCCCUAAACGAUGUCAACUGGUUGUUGGACGGCUUGCUGUUCAGUAACGAAGCUAACGCGUGAAGUUGACCGCCUGGGGAGUACGGCCGCAAGGUUGAAACUCAAAGGAAUUGACGGGGGACCCGCACAAGCGGUGGAUGAUGUGGUUUAAUUCGAUGCAACGCGAAAACCUUACCUACCCUUGACAUGCCAGGAACUUACCAGAGAUGGUUUGGUGCUCGAAAGGAGCCUGGACACAGGUGCUGCAUGGCCAUCGU